GAUGAACGCUGGCGGCGUGCUUAACACAUGCAAGUCGAACGGUGAAGCAGGAGCUUGCUCUUGUGGAUCAGUGGCGAACGGGUGAGUAACACGUGAGCAACCUGCCCCUGACUCUGGGAUAAGCGCUAGAAACGGCGUCUAAUACUGGAUAUGUGAUGUGACCGCAUGGUCUGCAUCUGGAAAGAAUUUCGGUUGGGGAUGGGCUCGCGGCCUAUCAGCUUGUUGGUGAGGUAAUGGCUCACCAAGGCGUCGACGGGUAGCCGGCCUGAGAGGGUGACCGGCCACACUGGGACUGAGACACGGCCCAGACUCCGACGGGAGGCAGCAGUGGGGAAUAUUGCACAAUGGGCGGAAGCCUGAUGCAGCAACUCCGCGUGAGGGAUGACGGCCUUCGGGUUGUAAACCUCUUUUAGCAGGGAAGAAGCGAAAGUGACGGUACCUGCAGAAAAAGCACCGGCUAACUACGUGCCAGCCGCCGCGGUAA
rnacentral:rRNA from 1 species